GUGAAUGACGGUCGUAAUUAUAACGGUCCUAAGGUAAUGAAAGGCGACACAAGUGAUGAAAUGGCCGAGAUAAAAGAUCGUAAACCCGUGAAGCUGAGCUAAUCCCAAAAAUUCGUUCUCAUGAGUUUGGACUGUAGGCUGCAACUCGCUUUCAUGAAGAAGGAAUCACUAGUAAUUGUCGGUCAGUCAUACGGUGGUGAAUUCAAUUUCGAGUCUUAUACACACCGUCCGUCACACUACGGGAGUUGAUCAUGCCCGAAAUCGUUACCUUAACCGUAAGGAGAGGAUGCUAAAUUGAACAAUCUCGUCACAAGCAUUGCAAUGGUACAAUUGUAUU
rnacentral:ncRNA from 1 species